AUUGAACGCUGGCGGCAGGCCUAACACAUGCAAGUCGAGCGGAGCGGCGGACGGGUGAGUAAUGCCUAGGACUCUGCCUGGUAGUGGGGGAUAACGUCCGGAACCGGGCGCUAAUACCGCAUACUCUCAGAGUAGCAUAGGUCGGAUUAGCUAGUGGGUGGGGGAAAGGCCUACCAAGGCGACGACUCGGAACUGGUCUGAGAGGAUGAUCAGUCACACUGGAACUGAGACACGGUCCAGACUCCUACGUGAGGCAGCAGUGGGGAAUAUUGGACAAUGGGCGAAAGCCUGAUCCAGCCAUGCCGCGUGUGUGAAGAAGGUCUUCGGAUUGUAAAGCACUUUAAGUUGGGAGGCGUUACCAACAGAAUAAGCACCGGCUAACUUCGUGCCAGCAGCCGCGGUAAUAC
rnacentral:rRNA from 1 species